CCCUGUUGAGCUUGACUCUAGUCCGACUUUGUGAAAUGACUUAGAAGGUGUAGAAUAAGUGGGAGCUCCGGCGCCAGUGAAAUACCACUACUUUUAACGUUAUUUUACUUAUUCCAUGAGGUGGAAGCGGGCUUCGGCCCCCCUUCUAGACCCAAGGGCUUCGCGCCCGAUCCAGGUGGAAGACAUUGUCAGGUGGGGAGUUUGGCUGGGGCGGC
rnacentral:rRNA from 12 species